rnacentral:rRNA from 1 species
ACGAACGCUGGCGGCAGGCCUAACCCAUGCAAGUCGAGCGAGCAUUUCGGUGCUAGCGGCGGACGGGUGAGUAACGCGUGGGAACGUACCCUUUUCUGCGGAAUAGUCCUGGGAAACUGGGGGUAAUACCGCAUACGCCCUUUUGGGGAAAGAUUUAUCGGAGAAGGAUCGGCCCGCGUUGGAUUAGGUAGUUGGUGGGGUAAUGGCCCACCAAGCCGACGAUCCAUAGCUGGUUUGAGAGGAUGAUCAGCCACACUGGGACUGAGACACGGCCCAGACUCCUACGGGAGGCAGCAGUGGGGAAUCUUAGACAAUGGGGGCAACCCUGAUCUAGCCAUGCCGCGUGAGUGAUGAAGGCCUUAGGGUUGUAAAGCUCUUUCAGCUGGGAAGAUAAUGACGGUACCAGCAGAAGAAGCCCCGGCUAACUCCGUG